rnacentral:rRNA from 2 species
GGGUUGUGAGGUUAAGCGACUAAGCGUACACGGUGGAUGCCCUGGCAGUCAGAGGCGAUGAAGGACGUGCUAAUCUGCGAUAAGCGCCGGUAAGGUGAUAUGAACCGUUAUAACCGGCGAUUUCCGAAUGGGGAAACCCAGUGUGACUCGUCACACUAUCAUUAACUGAAUCCAUAGGUUAAUGAGGCGAACCGGGGGAACUGAAACAUCUAAGUACCCCGAGGAAAAGAAAUCAACCGAGAUUCCCCCAGUAGCGGCGAGCGAACGGGGAGGAGCCCAGAGCCUGAAUCAGCAUGUGUGUUAGUGGAAGCGUCUGGAAAGGCGCGCGAUACAGGGUGACAGCCCCGUACACAAAAG